rnacentral:rRNA from 1 species
GACUGUAGUCUGCAACCCGACUACACGAAGCUGGAAUCGCUAGUAAUCGCGAAUCAGAAUGUCGCGGUGAAUACGUUCCCGGGUCUUGUACACACCGCCCGUCACACCAUGGGAGUCGGGAAUGCCCGAAGUCAGUGACCCAACCUAUUGGAGGGGAGCUGCCGAAGGCAGGUCUGAUAACUGGGGUGAAGUCGUAACAAGGUACC